UACGAAGGGUGCAAGCGUUACUCGGAAUUACUGGGCGUAAAGCGUGCGUAGGUGGUUUGUUAAGUCUGUUGUGAAAGCCCCGGGCUCAACCUGGGAAUGGCAAUGGAUACUGGCAAGCUAGAGUGCGGUAGAGGGUAGUGGAAUUCCCGGUGUAGCGGUGAAAUGCGUAGAGAUCGGGAGGAACACCAGUGGCGAAGGCAGGUCUCUGGGCAUUAACUGACGCUGAGGAGCGAAAGCAUGGGGAGCAAACGGG
rnacentral:rRNA from 1 species